UUGUAGAGAGAUAUAAUCAUUGAAUAUAAUAAUAUUAUUUUAAAAAUAAUUAUUAUAUCUAGUAUGUAUAUCUCUCUAAAUAAUAGUGUCUACUAAAUUAAGAGAAUCAUAAUCCAUUUUUUUUGUGUGUCUUUUGCUCUUGUUUUCGGUUGCUCUUGUUUUCAGCUUUAUAUUUGUAUUUUCACAACCUCGUUUGGAGGUAUUUUCUAUUUCCCCGUAACAAGUAAUGUCUCUUUUUUACGAUAUGUAAUGUUGUUUUUCUAUUAUUAAAUAUUUGAACUUUCUUGUUCUUAUUAUUAUUAUUAUUAUUAUUAUUAUUAUUAUGGGAAGUGAAAAUAAAAAGGAGUGAUACAUAGGUCAAAUAUGUUGUUUGUUAUUUGAAUUUUUG
rnacentral:lncRNA from 1 species